ACGCGAAAGGCCCCUUCGGGGGCCGAGUAGAGUGGCGUCCGGGUGAGUAACACGUAGGUAAUCUACCUCUGGGUGGGGAAUAACAGCCGGAAACGGCUGCUAAUACCGCAUAACGCAGCGGCACCACAUGGUGACAGUUGUUAAAGCGGGGGAACUUCGGUCCUCGCGCCUGGAGAGGAGCCUGCGGCGGAUUAGCUAGUUGGUAGGGUAACGGCCUACCAAGGCGACGAUCCGUAGCCGGCCUGAGAGGGCGGUCGGCCACACUGGCACUGACACACGGGCCAGACUCCUACGGGAGGCAGCAGUCGGGAAUUUUGGGCAAUGGGCGAAAGCCUGACCCAGCAACGCCGCGUGAAGGAUGAAGUUUCUCGGAAUGUAAACUUCACAAGAAUGGGAAGAAUAAGGAAGGGCUAAUACCCCUUUCGAUGACGGUACCAUUUGUAAGCUCCGGCUAACUCCGUGCCAGCAGCCGCGGUAAUACGGGGGGAGCAAGCGUUGUUCGGAUUUACUGGGCGUAAAGGGCGCGUAGGCGGCGCAACAAGUCGAUUGUGAAAUCUCCGGGCUUAACUCGGAGCGGCCAAUCGAUACUGUCGUGCUAGAGUGCGGAAGGGGCUACUGGAAUUCUCGGUGUAGCGGUGAAAUGCGUAGAUAUCGAGAGGAACACCUGCGGCGAAGGCGGGUAGCUGGGCCGACACUGACGCUGAGGCGCGAAAGCUAGGGGAGCG
rnacentral:rRNA from 1 species